AGUAGCAAUGCUACCGUUGGGGGAACCGAAUAGAAGUAGGCCGUCACUCUUCAUUUUGAACACACCCUCAGUGAAUAACCACCGUAACGGAAAAAUACCACCUCCAAAAUAUGCACAAGAAAGUGAAGAAACCGUAGCUCCAACUUCACCUUUAACCAAACAAACAAACUUCAUUUCCGAUCUAACUCUUCUCAACUCGCGGCCAACAACCACCAGCACAAACUCAACAAUCACCACCUUCAGUUCAUCCGAAACUCAUUCAUAACCGUACUCACCAAUCACCAUUACAGUAUCUCACAACCAUCCCUCUCCAUUUCACAGCUCUUGAGACACAGUUCCGAUCCACAUAUCUCUUACCGAUCCGAUUUUCGACGUUGACGGUUUUCUUACGAGCACUUCAAAGCAGAGUAAACGCAUAUCCAUACUACUAGAAACUCAGUGAAGCUAAGGGUGUUUUUUUCAUCUCUAAAAGUGAUUGAGAAAGGGCAUCCGACUCUCUUCGAUAGGAGGAGGUAUACCUCACUCUUCAAGUAUGGAGAGUCUUGUAACAAGACAGAUAAUACAUCACCGAUCAAGCAGUGACUAUGAGGAGAAGUGUUCAAUGACCAUUGAGAUUCUGCGACAAGUUUGUGGAGCAGUUUUGGGCAUGGGCGAAAUUGGUAAAUAGGUUAUGAUACACCCGUGCAAUGGGGAAUCAUACAGGGAGAACUAGGUACGUUUGAUUUUCACUAUAACUCAUCCCACGAUGCUGCAGAGUUAAGAGAAUUAAACAAUUUCAUCAGUAUUAAUCUAGACGAGGAGAAGGAUAAGUCUUUGAAUCUUAGUCCUCAUGAUUGCUACUGGUGAAUUCAUACUUGCCCGUUGCAAUUUUGACUGUAAGGAGCUCUUCACGGGGAUUUGCAAUAUCGCAAAAGUAAUUUCUCUUCAUUUUCUGAAAUGUUGUCCGACUCUCCUAUGCGCGAAUAAAUGUAGCUCUCAGUUGCUGGGAGAAUUACAAAACAUAUGGGGAAUUUCGGCGACCUUCUCUGGGAUUUGAGGCAACAAACCUUUAUGCAACUGAUUUAUCUAUCAUAGAGAAAAUCAUUCAAAAGUUUCCGAGUAUUUGCAAUGGGGUUGUGAUUGAGAAGGUAAUUUCAGGCUCUUCCGUUGAUUUUGUUGGGCUACGGUCCAACGAUGUAAUAGGUUGAUGUGAUGGAAAAACGAUUCACAGUUUCUUAGAGGUUCAGGAUUUGCUGUGAGGGUUGAUAAGGACACACUUACUAAGAAUCAGCUUCUGCCGAAUGUCUUGAUCAUAUUGACAUGUGCUCAUGUGUUACAUGAUGAUAAAAUAAUCAAAGUCUGCAAUUUUAACCACAAAACUAGUUUCAACGCAAGGAUACUGCGUAGGAAUCCUUGCUGGGACAACUUUAUUGGUGCUACGAAAUGCAGCAGAUAAGUUUGCUAGUGUUGAAUUUGUUGAAAACGGAAGCAUAUUACUUUCUCAGGCAUUAUUCUAUAUCGGUAACCCACACUGGUAUUUAUGGUCGUUCUUCAUUGGAUGUGUUGGGUAUAAGCACUAAUGAUGUUGUUGCUCCUUGUUGUAGUAGAGAAAAGUAUUUUCCAUAAACCUGACUUGAAGAUGAAACGACAAGAUAUCUAAAAUUAGGAAACUUGGUUAAUAAGGUUUUUUUUUUAUGCAAAACAAAAUUCGAUUGAAGAAAAUAGUAUGGAGAAAAUGAAAAUUUAAACCCGGGUGUUCCUGUGAUACAAUGUUGCGGCAUGAGUGCUACCCAGGGAUAUUCUGGAGGGCCUGUUUUCAACAAUGAAGGUAAGAUUAUUGGAAUGAUGUGUAUCAAUUUGGUUGAGUUUGAUAUUGUUAGCCAUGUAAGCAUGUUGAAGGCAUACAUCUAUGACCCUUAAUAUUAAGUAGUUCUGCUUUUCAAUCAUUAAAGUUAUGCCCAUGUGUAUCCGAUGGAUGAAAUUAGCCUGCAUAUGACAAGAAGCAUAAGGGAACAAAUUUUAGCUUCAUUGUUCAUUCUACUAUUAUUCGGUUUAUUCUCUUAUUUUGUUAUAAUAGUUUGACUUCAACUAAGUCUGGAAUGUUGUGUUUGAUACUUUAGAUAUAAUUAUCCGAGUCACUUAUGCAUUAUAGAGAGCUAAUUAUGAUUGUGGUUGUUAGCCUUUUUGCGUGGAAUCACAUUAAUGUACCGACAGACUCAAAUAGAAACCUUACCCAAUAUUUUGGAUCUCAAUAUUAAAGAGAACAAUGUGAAUCGACCCAUCUUUAUACACUCCUUGUAAUUCUGAACCAUAAGGGUACUAGGGUUGCUCACAGUAUCAUUGCGGCUCUCUAUCUAUUUUUCUGAAAUAAGUAAGAAACCCUCUCUUGUCUAUGUGGAUGUAGGUCACAAUUAAGAAACCAUGUAAAAUCUAUGCACAUUCUUCUUCAUUUUGCUAUGAUUCUCUUUAUUUUCUUAUAAGUUUGACUUCAACUCUUAAUUCUACAAUGUUGUAUUAUUAUAUAAUUGUCAGUCAUUUAUGGAUUAUAGGUAGCAAACUGUGAAUUUGCUUGGUUCUUAAGUUAAUCCACUAAUUGUGGUUGUUAGUCAUUUAUGGAUUUUUGUUCGACAAAAUCAAUUUUGUCCCCAAAAAACCAACCUAACACUUAAUUAUCUUCAAUAUAUCAUUGAACAUCCCUUUUGACCUUCCUGUAAGUGUAGGAAAGAUCUUUCAGUAGAGGUUUAGCUUAUAUAAUGGCAAUGGUUGCCGAGUUUAAUGAAUAUACAAAUGAGAGGGGACAUUCUUUCCAAAGUCGAAAAAUAAAUUAAUCUAUAAACUACGAUUAUUUAA